GAUGAACGCUGGCGGCGUGCCUAAUACAUGCAAGUCGAGCGAACGGACGAGAAGCUUGCUUCUCUGAUGUUAGCGGCGGACGGGUGAGUAACACGUGGAUAACCUACCUAUAAGACUGGGAUAACUUCGGGAAACCGGAGCUAAUACCGGAUAAUAUUUUGAACCGCAUGGUUCAAAAGUGAAAGACGGUCUUGCUGUCACUUAUAGAUGGAUCCGCGCUGCAUUAGCUAGUUGGUAAGGUAACGGCUUACCAAGGCAACGAUGCAUAGCCGACCUGAGAGGGUGAUCGGCCACACUGGAACUGAGACACGGUCCAGACUCCUACGGGAGGCAGCAGUAGGGAAUCUUCCGCAAUGGGCGAAAGCCUGACGGAGCAACGCCGCGUGAGUGAUGAAGGUCUUCGGAUCGUAAAACUCUGUUAUUAGGGAAGAACAUAUGUGUAAGUAACUGUGCACAUCUUGACGGUACCUAAUCAGAAAGCCACGGCUAACUACGUGCCAGCAGCCGCGGUAAUACGUAGGUGGGCAGCGUUAUCCGGAAUUAUUGGGGCGUAAAGCGCGCCUUAGGCGGUUUUUUAAGUCUGAUGUGAAAGCCCACGGCUCAACCGUGGAGGGUCAUUGGAAACUGGAAAACUUGAGUGCAGAAGAGGAAAGUGGAAUUCCAUGUGUAGCGGUGAAAUGCGCAGAGAUAUGGAGGAACACCAGUGGCGAAGGCGACUUUCUGGUCUGUAACUGACGCUGAUGUGCGAAAGCGUGGGGAUCAAACAGGAUUAGAUACCCUGGUAGUCCACGCCGUAAACGAUGAGUGCUAAGUGUUAGGGGGUUUCCGCCCCUUAGUGCUGCAGCUAACGCAUUAAGCACUCCGCCUGGGGAGUACGACCGCAAGGUUGAAACUCAAAGGAAUUGACGGGGACCCGCACAAGCGGUGGAGCAUGUGGUUUAAUUCGAAGCAACGCGAAGAACCUUACCAAAUCUUGACAUCCUUUGACAACUCUAGAGAUAGAGCCUUCCCCUUCGGGGGACAAAGUGACAGGUGGUGCAUGGUUGUCGUCAGCUCGUGUCGUGAGAUGUUGGGUUAAGUCCCGCAACGAGCGCAACCCUUAAGCUUAGUUGCCAUCAUUAAGUUGGGCACUCUAAGUUGACUGCCGGUGACAAACCGGAGGAAGGUGGGGAUGACGUCAAAUCAUCAUGCCCCUUAUGAUUUGGGCUACACACGUGCUACAAUGGACAAUACAAAGGGCAGCGAAACCGCGAGGUCAAGCAAAUCCCAUAAAGUUGUUCUCAGUUCGGAUUGUAGUCUGCAACUCGACUACAUGAAGCUGGAAUCGCUAGUAAUCGUAGAUCAGCAUGCUACGGUGAAUACGUUCCCGGGUCU
rnacentral:rRNA from 1 species